GAUUAAGUUAUUAAGGGCGCACGGUGGAUGCCUUGGCACUAGAAGCCGAUGAAGGACGUUACUAACGACGAUAUGCUUUGGGGAGCUGUAAGUAAGCUUUGAUCCAGAGAUUUCCGAAUGGGGAAACCCAGCAUGAGUUAUGUCAUGUUAUCGAUAUGUGAAUACAUAGCAUAUCAGAAGGCACACCCGGAGAACUGAAACAUCUUAGUACCCGGAGGAAGAGAAAGAAAAUUCGAUUCCCUUAGUAGCGGCGAGCGAAACGGGAAGAGCCCAAACCAACAAGCUUGCUUGUUGGGGUUGUAGGACACUCUAUACGGAGUUACAAAGGACGACAUUAGACGAAUCAUCUGGAAAGAUGAAUCAAAGAAGGUAAUAAUCCUGUAGUCGAAAAUGUUGUCUCUCUUGAGUGGAUCCUGAGUACGACGGAGCACGUGAAAUUCCGUCGGAAUCUGGGAGGACCAUCUCCUAAGGCUAAAUACUCUCUAGUGACCGAUAGUGAACCAGUACCGUGAGGGAAAGGUGAAAAGCACCCCGGAAGGGGAGUGAAAUAGAACCUGAAACCGUGUGCUUACAAGUAGUCAAAGCCCGUUAAUGGGUGAUGGCGUGCCUUUUGUAGAAUGAACCGGCGAGUUACGAUUUGAUGCAAGGUUAAGCAGUAAAUGUGGAGCCGUAGCGAAAGCGAGUCUGAAUAGGGCGUUUAGUAUUUGGUCGUAGACCCGAAACCAGGUGAUCUACCCUUGGUCAGGUUGAAGUUCAGGUAACACUGAAUGGAGGACCGAACCGACUUACGUUGAAAAGUGAGCGGAUGAACUGAGGGUAGCGGAGAAAUUCCAAUCGAACCUGGAGAUAGCUGGUUCUCUCCGAAAUAGCUUUAGGGCUAGCCUCAAGUGAUGAUUAUUGGAGGUAGAGCACUGUUUGGACGAGGGGCCCCUCUCGGGUUACCGAAUUCAGACAAACUCCGAAUGCCAAUUAAUUUAACUUGGGAGUCAGAACAUGGGUGAUAAGGUCCGUGUUCGAAAGGGAAACAGCCCAGACCACCAGCUAAGGUCCCAAAAUAUAUGUUAAGUGGAAAAGGAUGUGGCGUUGCCCAGACAACUAGGAUGUUGGCUUAGAAGCAGCCAUCAUUUAAAGAGUGCGUAAUAGCUCACUAGUCGAGUGACACUGCGCCGAAAAUGUACCGGGGCUAAACAUAUUACCGAAGCUGUGGAUUGUCCUUUGGACAAUGGUAGGAGAGCGUUCUAAGGGCGUUGAAGCAUGAUCGUAAGGACAUGUGGAGCGCUUAGAAGUGAGAAUGCCGGUGUGAGUAGCGAAAGACGGGUGAGAAUCCCGUCCACCGAUUGACUAAGGUUUCCAGAGGAAGGCUCGUCCGCUCUGGGUUAGUCGGGCCCUAAGCUGAGGCCGACAGGCGUAGGCGAUGGAUAACAGGUUGAUAUUCCUGUACCACCUAUAAUCGUUUUAAUCGAUGGGGGGACGCAGUAGGAUAGGCGAAGCGUGCGAUUGGAUUGCACGUCUAAGCAGUAAGGCUGAGUAUUAGGCAAAUCCGGUACUCGUUAAGGCUGAGCUGUGAUGGGGAGAAGACAUUGUGUCUUCGAGUCGUUGAUUUCACACUGCCGAGAAAAGCCUCUAGAUAGAAAAUAGGUGCCCGUACCGCAAACCGACACAGGUAGUCAAGAUGAGAAUUCUAAGGUGAGCGAGCGAACUCUCGUUAAGGAACUCGGCAAAAUGACCCCGUAACUUCGGGAGAAGGGGUGCUCUUUAGGGUUAACGCCCAGAAGAGCCGCAGUGAAUAGGCCCAAGCGACUGUUUAUCAAAAACACAGGUCUCUGCUAAACCGUAAGGUGAUGUAUAGGGGCUGACGCCUGCCCGGUGCUGGAAGGUUAAGAGGAGUGGUUAGCUUCUGCGAAGCUACGAAUCGAAGCCCCAGUAAACGGCGGCCGUAACUAUAACGGUCCUAAGGUAGCGAAAUUCCUUGUCGGGUAAGUUCCGACCCGCACGAAAGGCGUAACGAUUUGGGCACUGUCUCAACGAGAGACUCGGUGAAAUCAUAGUACCUGUGAAGAUGCAGGUUACCCGCGACAGGACGGAAAGACCCCGUGGAGCUUUACUGUAGCCUGAUAUUGAAAUUCGGCACAGCUUGUACAGGAUAGGUAGGAGCCUUUGAAACGUGAGCGCUAGCUUACGUGGAGGCGCUGGUGGGAUACUACCCUAGCUGUGUUGGCUUUCUAACCCGCACCACUUAUCGUGGUGGGAGACAGUGUCAGGCGGGCAGUUUGACUGGGGCGGUCGCCUCCUAAAAGGUAACGGAGGCGCUCAAAGGUUCCCUCAGAAUGGUUGGAAAUCAUUCAUAGAGUGUAAAGGCAUAAGGGAGCUUGACUGCGAGACCUACAAGUCGAGCAGGGUCGAAAGACGGACUUAGUGAUCCGGUGGUUCCGCAUGGAAGGGCCAUCGCUCAACGGAUAAAAGCUACCCCGGGGAUAACAGGCUUAUCUCCCCCAAGAGUUCACAUCGACGGGGAGGUUUGGCACCUCGAUGUCGGCUCAUCGCAUCCUGGGGCUGUAGUCGGUCCCAAGGGUUGGGCUGUUCGCCCAUUAAAGCGGUACGCGAGCUGGGUUCAGAACGUCGUGAGACAGUUCGGUCCCUAUCCGUCGUGGGCGUAGGAAAUUUGAGAGGAGCUGUCCUUAGUACGAGAGGACCGGGAUGGACAUACCUCUGGUGUACCAGUUGUCGUGCCAACGGCAUAGCUGGGUAGCUAUGUGUGGACGGGAUAAGUGCUGAAAGCAUCUAAGCAUGAAGCCCCCCUCAAGAUGAGAUUUCCCAACUUCGGUUAUAAGAUCCCUCAAAGAUGAUGAGGUUAAUAGGUUCGAGGUGGAAGCAUGGUGACAUGUGGAGCUGACGAAUACUAAUCGAUCGAAGACUUAAUCAA
rnacentral:rRNA from 1 species